rnacentral:tRNA from 1 species
GCAUAAUGGAGUGACAGCGUUUAAGUCGGACUUCUAAUCCGACGGUCGCGGGUUCGAAUCCUGCCGGGUGCGCCA